GUGAAUCAUCGAAUCUUUGAACGCAAAUUGCACUCUCCUCGGAGAGUAUGCCUGUUUGAGGGUCAGCCUAUAAAAAAUCGACAUCGUUGCUGUUUCGCGGUGGCGUUCGUCGGAAAUUGGGUCAUCUUAAAUCUUUUGGUUUUAAGCGACUUAAAAUUUUCUUUUUGUUCCCUGGACGGUUCUUAGGUUUAUUUUCUUUCAACGUUAAGGGAUUGAUUUUUAUUUGGAGU
rnacentral:misc_RNA from 1 species